CACCAUCCAGGGUCCAGGAAGGGAAUAUCUAUCUAUUUUCUUCAGGCAGAAUACAGAGUAGGAGCAGAUCUGUAUAAUGGCUUUCCUUCUGCACAGUUCCCCAAGGCUAUUUCUCAGCUGGAAUCAAGGGUGGGACUGCCAGCAUUACUAUGGAAACCCCCAAAAAUAAAGACUCCCAGCCUUGUGAGAGUACACCUGCAAGAGUAAGAGCUGCCUAUCAAAAGUGACUUCUUCAUUAUGGAUGUCACCUAAGGACAUUUUGUGUGGACUGGAGCUUCUUGUUGUACAAAUGAAAAAUUUUCCCAAAAAAAUCUGGUGUUUGGAAGCAGAAAUCUUUCCAAAAGUGCACAGGAGUGAUUU
rnacentral:lncRNA from 1 species